CUGGGAGUGCUGUGUAUGGACAUGGUAGACACAACAUCGUUUUGUGGAGUCAAUUCUGCUUUUGUAUCUUCGAUGCUCGUCAAGGACAGUGGCUCCAAAAGGUUGGUGAUGCUCCUCUCACACGUGGUCCUAAUGGUGGAAAAUGUAUUUAUAGCCCUAAAGUUGUUGUUUACCAUGAUGACUGCACUCUACAACUGUUUUUUGGGGAAAACCCAGUUGUGUUUUAUUUGGUAUGACAACUAUGAAUGGGAGCACCGAGAACUUGGAGAUGGUUAGGGAAGCUUUACAAUCCACAAUAUAAAGUUUGAAAUUAGCAAAUCACCAUCUGGGGAAGUUGUUUUGAAGCCUCUUCAAGGGAUUCCCUUGAGUAAACGCGUGGAGGGGGGAGGGAUUAUGUUCGCAGGAGUGUAAGUAUCUCUUUAUUUAUUAAAUUGUUAAAUAAAUUUGUUAUUAGAAAGAUGUGGUUGCCCAAUUUACCAGAAUCUGAUACUCAAACGGUUAUGAUGACUCUGGAUCUAAUAGGUUAGGAACCAGUGCAAUAGGAAUAUCAACUGGAACUGAAUGGUUACUGUUGGUUCCGCUUAUUGCUUGAUUGAGUUUCUAUACUUGGUGAUUUAUGACUCUUAGACCUGACUCUGCAUUGGAACCAAAUUAGUGGUUUGGUCACAAGUCUUCCUGCUAUAGGUACUAAAAUCACUAUGAACUAGAACAUGUCCUGACAAUAAUUAAUCAAAUGACAGAACUGCUUGGAAUUGGGCCAGAUUCAACCCAUUGACACCUUUAUAUACAACAUGUUAGUGCAAGGCAAUGGGCAUGCAGAAGUGAUCUACAUGGAUGGACAAUUUGAACUUGUGCAACACAUGCUUCCCAACUCCUCAUUAUUAAUAUAUAUAUACGUUCAGAGUAUCUUCUAAAUUCUAAUGUUCAGUCUACUAUGAUUAUAAGUUAUUUUCAACCAACUGUUCUAGUUUCGAAUUACGAUGAGAAAGAAACGAAGGUCAAUCUGUGUUAAGUUCUUUACAAACCUUGUUCGCCACAAUGUGGCAUUUUAGGGCAUUGAUUGUAUGUGGCUUGAGCUGUGCAUCUCACGUAAUUAGUAUAAUUCUGGUGUAAAGUGCUGAUGCACACUGUUUGUUUUUUUGUUUGUUUUGUCUGGUGCUUCCAUUGAAAAACUAUUACUAGUAUUUGGAGCAUAUCACUUAAGCUUCAUCUUCUUUCAGGCAAUGGCAAGAUGAUGAUGAGAGAAAAUUUGAUUUUGAUGGGAGCGGUCCCCAAACUUC
rnacentral:lncRNA from 1 species